GACGAACGCUGGCGGCGUGCCUAACACAUGCAAGGUCACGGGGGCCCAGGGGCAACUCUGGGCAACCGGCGAACGGGUGCGUAACACGUGAGCAACCUGCCUAUCUGCGGGGGAUAGCCGGCCCAACGGCCGGGUAAUACCGCAUACGUUCACGAGGGGACAUCCCCUUGUGAGGAAAACUCCGGUGCAGAUAGAGGGGCUCGCGGCCUAUCAGCUAGUUGGUGAGGUAACGGCUCACCAAGGCGACGACGGGUAGCUGGUCUGAGAGGAUGGCCAGCCACAUUGGGACUGCGACACGGCCCAGACUCCUACGGGAGGCAGCAGUGGGGAAUAUUGCGCAAUGGACGAAAGUCUGACGCAGCGACGCCGCGUGUGGGAUGAAGCUCUUCGGGGGUGU
rnacentral:rRNA from 1 species